GACGAACGCUGGCGGCGUGCUUAACACAUGCAAGUCGAACGGAAAGGCCCUGCUUUUGUGGGGUUCUCGAUUGGCGAACGGGUGAGUAACACGUGAGUAUCCUGCCCUUGUCUUUCGGGUAACUUCAGGAAACUGGGGCUAAUAUCGGAUAGGAGCUCCUGCUGCAUGGUGGGGGUUGGAAAGUUUCGGCGGUUGGGGAUGGAAUGGCGGCUUAUGAGCUUGUUGGUCGGGUAGUGGCUUACCAAGUCUUUGACGGGUAGCCGGCCUGAGAGGGUGAACGGCGACAUUACGACUGAGAUACGGAGCAGACGCCUACGGGAGGCAGUAGUGGGGAAUAUUGCACAGUGGGCGGAAGCCUGAGACAGAAACGCCGCGUGCGGGAUGACCGCCUUCUGGUUGAGAACCGCUUUCGCCUGAGACGAAGCGGGAGUGACGGUAAUGAAUAAAGAAGCACCGGCUAACUACGUG
rnacentral:rRNA from 1 species